AAAUAAUAUUGAUCCUUACACUUUGAAAGCAAGCCAUCAUAAUAAAGAAAAUGAUUUGCUGCCCUCCUUGUGUUAUCCAGAUCUCUUCACUUAUAAUCUUGUUCUACUGAAAGUGCCUACACAAUCACAAAGGAUGAAUUCAAGGCUUACAAGAGUUUAGCAGCUUACAACCAGUUCCUAGAUGGUUGGGUUCAAGAUAUUAUGGCUUUUAAACCACUAGCAAAGGUUCUUCACUCUCAGUGGUUAGCAAAAAAGGUACUGCAGCCCUGGAUAAGUCGAGAUGGUAUUAUUCUAUCAGCCCACUGUUCUUGUACAGUUGGACUUGGAGAGUCCUGCACUCAUGUGGCAGCCACUUUAAUUAUGCUGGAAGCCAACACCAGACUAAAAGAGAGUAAGACAGUUAGUUACAGGCUUGUUAUCUUACUGGAUAAAUCCAUCAGAGCUUAAAAAAGUUUUGCCAACUAAGGUUUCUGAGAUUGACAUCACCUCAUUAAAAAACAAAAAGUUAAAUUUGAUUCUCUUGUGAACAACAUCACUUCUAAAAAUAAAAAUGUAAAGGCUAUUAAAUCCAAAGAAACUAUAAAGCUUAGUAUAAAUAUUUUUAAUUCAUUUAUUGAAAGUAAUGAGACAACACCUAGAGUUGUUAUUCCAAUCAGAUAUUUUACUAUGUUGUGCUUAUAGGAUGGCUGCCUGGUCGUGCGGUUUGCGCGCUGGACUGUCGUUCGAAUUUAUCGACGGUCGAGGGUUAAACCCUACCCGCUCCCAUCCCCCGUCGUCCUGCGGGAGGUUUGGACUAGGAAGUAAACUAUCUUCAACUCUGAAAGAACAUCCGAAACAUGUAAAACAUUUUACAAAUAUUUUUUUACAGGAAGAAUAGGUUUGUGCCUGUGCUUUAAUGCUGCUAGGUCUUUCAAUGAAAAUUUCAAAACAGUCAUUUAUUACUGUCACCUUCCUGCCAUAAGUACUAAUAAUUUCUUUGGGCCUGAGACUCUCCUUAUUGGGCCAGAAAAUCAAAUCGGACAUGUUGACAUACAUAACAUCCAAAA